rnacentral:rRNA from 1 species
GACGAACGCUGGCGGCGUGCUUAACACAUGCCAGUCGAACGGAAAGGCCCUGCUUUUGUGGGGUGCUCGAGUGGCGAACGGGUGAGUAACACGUGAGUAACCUGCCCUUGACUUUGGGAUAACUUCAGGAAACUGGGGCUAAUACCGGAUAGGAGCUCCUGCUGCAUGGUGGGGGUUGGAAAGUUUCGGCGGUUGGGGAUAGACUCGCGGCUUAUCAGCUUGUUGGUGGGGUAGUGGCUUACCAAGGCUUUGACGGGUAGCCGGCCUGAGAGGGUGACCGGCCACAUUGGGACAGAGAUACGGCCCAGACUCCUACGGGAGGCAGCAGUGGGGAAUAUUGCACAAUGGGCGGAAGCCUGAUGCAGCAACGCCGCGUGCGGGAUGACGGCCUUCGGGUUGUAAACCGCUUUCGCCUGUGACGAAGCGUGAGUGACGGUAAUGGGUAAAGAAGCACCGGCUAACUACGUG